GCCUACGGGAGGCAGCAGUAGGGAAUCUUCCACAAUGGACGAAAGUCUGAUGGAGCAACGCCGCGUGAGUGAAGAAGGGUUUCGGCUCGUAAAGCUCUGUUGGUAGUGAAGAAAGAUGGAGGUAGUAACUGGCCUUUAUUUGACGGUGAUUACUUAGAAAGUCACGGCUAACUACGUGCCAGCAGCCGCGGUAAUACGUAGGUGGCACGCGUUGUCCGGGUUUAUUGGGCGUAAAGCGAGUGCAGGCGGUUCAA
rnacentral:rRNA from 1 species